UAGGGAAUCUUCGGCAAUGGGGGCAACCCUGACCGAGCAACGCCGCGUGAGUGAAGAAGGUUUUCGGAUCGUAAAGCUCUGUUGUAAGAGAAGAACGUGUGUGAGAGUGGAAAGUUCACACAGUGACGGUAACUUACCAGAAAGGGACGGCUAACUACGUGCCAGCAGCCGCGGUAAUACGUAGGUCCCGAGCGUUGUCCGGAUUUAUUGGGCGUAAAGCGAGCGCAGGCGGUUUAAUAAGACUGAAGUGAAAGGCAGUGGCUUAACCAUUGUUAGCUUUGGAAGAUGUUAAACUAGAGGGCAGAAGGGGAGAGUGGAGUUCCAUGUGUAGCGGUGGGGUGCGUAGAUAUAUGGAGGAAGAACGGUGGCGAAAGCGGCUCUCUGGUGUGUAACUGACGCUGAGGCUCGAAAGAGUGGGGAGCAAACAGG
rnacentral:rRNA from 1 species